UUGCCUACGGGUGGCUGCAGUCGAGAAUCUUCCGCAAUGGGCGAAAGCCUGACGGAGCGACGCCGCGUGCGGGAUGAAGGCCCUUGGGUUGUAAACCGCUGUCAGGGGGGAUGAAGGCCGCAAGGCUUGACAGAGCCCCAGAGGAAGCACGGGCUAAGUUCGUGCCAGCAGCCGCGGUAAGACGAACUGUGCGAACGUUAUUCGGAAUCACUGGGCUUACAGGGUGCGUAGGCGGCCUGUUAAGUAGGGUGUGAAAUCCCCCGGCCCAACCGGGGAAUUGCGCUCUAAACUAGCAGGCUUGAGUGAGCUAGGGGUGCACGGAACUUCCAGUGGAGCGGUGAAAUGUGUUGAUAUUGGAAGGAACACCGGAGGCGAAAGCGGUGCACUGGGGCUUAACUGACGCUGAGGCACGAAAGCCAGGGUAGCGAACGGGAUUAGAUACCCUAGUAGUCAGC
rnacentral:rRNA from 1 species